AGAUUGCUCCUCAAUCAGUCAGCCUUGGAGGGCCAUGGACAUCUGCCCCCAGCUUCUCACCUCAGAUUGAAGAAAUAACCAAAAGCCAAGCUGCCAAGGCAUCUACUUCGCCUUGCCCAUUUAUGAUUGCUUGUUGGAGCUGCAAGUUUCAUCUGUUGUCCAAAUUUGUGUCACAAACUUUCAAGUCCAAGAACCAGAUAUUGAGCAUUGAGCUUUGUUGUGAUGACAUUUCUUUGACAUUCUACAGCAGCUUGAGUUUUUGCAUACUUCAUCCAAAAUCACCUAUUUCCCCCUGGAGUAAAACAAAUGUAUACUGAAUCAUUACAUAGUUUGAAGCAUGGUUGCUUGAGUGCUGGAUCAUUUGAUAGCUCUGGAGGGUCCUGACC